rnacentral:lncRNA from 1 species
CGGGUUUUAAAUUAUCGAACCACAGGGAAUUGGAAUGUGAAUUCAGUUUAAGAGUCAAGUUCAAGGUUAAAAAGCGAGUAAAAUUCAGUUUUAAAGGUUGAUUGAUUGUUGUGAUACUUAAUUAGAAAGCUAGCAAAGAUAAGUGUGUGAUAAUCAAUGGUGAGAAUGCCUUGGGUUCUUGCUUGACUAAUUCAGUUCUAAUCAACCUAUUC